rnacentral:rRNA from 1 species
AACGAACGCUGGCGGCAGGCUUAACACAUGCAAGUCGAACGCAUCCUUCGGGGUGAGUGGCAGACGGGUGAGUAACGCGUGGGAACGUGCCCUUCAGUUCGGGAUAACCCAGGGAAACUUGGGCUAAUACCGGAUACGUGCGAGAGCAGAAAGAUUUAUCGCUGAAGGAUCGGCCCGCGUCUGAUUAGCUAGUUUGGUGGGGUAAUGGCCCACCAAGGCGACGAUCAGUAGCUGGUCUGAGAGGAUGAUCAGCCACAUUGGGACUGAGACACGGCCAAACCGCGUACGGAGGCAGCAGUGGGGAAUAUUGGACAAUGGGCGCAAGCCUGAUCCAGCCAUGCCGCGUGAGUGAUGAAGGCCUUAGGGUUGUAAAGCUCUUUCGUCCGGGACGAUAAUGACGGUACCGGAAGAAGAAGCCCCGGCUAACUUCGUGCCAGCCGCCGCCGUAA